rnacentral:rRNA from 1 species
AGGUUAAGCUAGAAAGGGCGCACGGUGGAUGCCUUGGCACUAGGAGCCGAUGAAGGACGGGGCAAACGCCGAAACGCUUCGGGGAGCUGUAAGCAAGCGUUGAUCCGGAGAUGUCCGAAUGGGGGAACCCACUGUCCGUAAUGGGGCAGUAUCCAUGCCUGAAUCCAUAGGGCAUGGAGGGCACACCCGGGGAACUGAAACAUCUUAGUACCCGGAGGAGAAGAAAGCAAMYGCGAUUCCCURAGUAGCGGCGAGCGAAACGGGAACAGCCCAAACCAAGAGGCRWGUCCUCUUGGGGUUGUAGGACCGCUCACGAUGGGAGUGAGAAAGGRACGGGGUAGACGAACCGGUCUGGAACGGCCGGCCAGAGAAGGUGAGAGCCCUGUAGUCGAAACUUCGUUCCCUCCCGAGCGGAUCCUGAGUACGGCGGGACACGAGGAAUCCCGUCGGAAGCAGGGAGGACCAUCUCCCAAGGCUAAAUACUCCCUAGUGACCGAUAGUGCACCAGUACCGUGAGGGAAAGGUGAAAAGCACCCCGGGAGGGGAGUGAAAGAGAACCUGAAACCGUGUGCCUACAAGUAGUCAGAGCCCGUUGAUGGGUGAUGGCGUGCCUUUUGUAGAAUGAACCGGCGAGUGACGAUGGCGUGCGAGGUUAAGCCGRAGAGGCGGAGCCGCAGCGAAAGCGAGUCUGAACAGGGCGUGUGAGUACGUCGUCGUCGACCCGAAACCAGGUGAUCUACCCAUGUCCAGGGUGAAGGCCGGGUAACACCGGCUGGAGGCCCGAACCCACGCACGUUGAAAAGUGCGGGGAUGAGGUGUGGGUAGGGGUGAAAUGCCAAUCGAACUUGGAGAUAGCUGGUUCUCCCCGAAAUAGCUUUAGGGCUAGCCUCGGGUUUAGGAGUCUUGGAGGUAGAGCACUGAUUGGGCUAGGGGCCCMAAMCGGGUUACCGAACCCAGUCAAACUCCGAAUGCCAAYGACUUAUGCCCGGGAGUCAGACUGCGAGUGAUAAGAUCCGUGGUCGAGAGGGGAACAGCCCAGACCGCCAGCUAAGGCCCCGAAGUGCACGUUCACAUUUAAAGAGUGCGUAAUAGCUCACUGGUCGAGUGACUCUGCGCCGAAAAUGUACCGGGGCUAAACGUGCCGCCGAAGCUGCGGGAUGACCGUUGGUCAUCGGUAGGGGAGCGUUCUAAGGGCAGAGAAGCCAGACCGGAAGGACUGGUGGAGCGCUUAGAAGUGAGAAUGCCGGUAUGAGUAGCGAAAACAGAGGUGAGAAUCCUCUGCGCCGAAAGCCUAAGGGUUCCUGAGGAAGGUUCGUCCGCUCAGGGUUAGUCGGGACCUAAGCCGAGGCCGAAAGGCGUAGGUGAUGGACAACAGGUUGAGAUUCCUGUACCACCUUCUUCCCGUUUGAGCGAUGGGGGGACGCAGGAGGAUAGGGCGAGCAGGCGGCUGGAAGAGCCUGUCCAAGCCGUGAGGCUGAUCCGCAGGCAAAUCCGCGGAUCAUAAGGCCAAGCGGUGACGGCGACGGAGUGAUCCGGAAGUCCCCGAUUUCACACUGCCAAGAAAAGCCUCUAGCGAGGGAAGAGGUGCCCGUACCGCAAACCGACACAGGUAGGCGAGGAGAGAAUCCUAAGGCGCGCGGGAGAACUCUCGUUAAGGAACUCGGCAAAAUGACCCCGUAACUUCGGGAGAAGGGGUGCUCUUUGGGGUGAAGAGCCCUGAAGAGCCGCAGUGAAAAGGCCCAAGCGACUGUUUAUCAAAAACACAGGUCUCUGCGAAGCCGAAAGGCGACGUAUAGGGGCUGACACCUGCCCGGUGCUGGAAGGUUAAGGGGAGCGCUUAGCGGAAGCGAAGGUGCGAACCGAAGCCCCAGUAAACGGCGGCCGUAACUAUAACGGUCCUAAGGUAGCGAAAUUCCUUGUCGGGUAAGUUCCGACCCGCACGAAAGGUGUAACGACUUGGGCGCUGUCUCAACGAGAGACCCGGUGAAAUUAUACUACCUGUGAAGAUGCAGGUUACCCGCGACAGGACGGAAAGACCCCGUGGAGCUUUACUGCAGCCUGAUAUGGAAUUUUGGUAUCGCUUGUACAGGAUAGGUGGGAGCCUGGGAAGCCGGAGCGCCAGCUUCGGUGGAGGCGGCGGUGGGAUACCACCCUGGCGGUAUUGAAAUUCUAACCCGCACCCCUUARCGGGGUGGGAGACAGUGUCAGGYGGGCAGUUUGACUGGGGCGGUCGCCUCCCAAAAGGUAACGGAGGCGCCCAAAGGUUCCCUCAGAAUGGUUGGAAAUCAUUCGGAGAGUGCAAAGGCACAAGGGAGCUUGACUGCGAGACGGACAGGUCGAGCAGGGACGAAAGUCGGGCUUAGUGAUCCGGUGGUUCCGCAUGGAAGGGCCAUCGCUCAACGGAUAAAAGCUACCCCGGGGAUAACAGGCUGAUCUCCCCCAAGAGUCCACAUCGACGGGGAGGUUUGGCACCUCGAUGUCGGCUCAUCGCAUCCUGGGGCUGUAGUCGGUCCCAAGGGUUGGGCUGUUCGCCCAUUAAAGCGGUACGCGAGCUGGGUUCAGAACGUCGUGAGACAGUUCGGUCCCUAUCCGUCGCGGGCGGAGGAAAUUUGAGAGGAGCUGUCCUUAGUACGAGAGGACCGGGAUGGACGCACCGCUGGUGUACCAGUUGUCCCGCCAGGGGCACCGCUGGGUAGCUAUGUGCGGACGGGAUAAGCGCUGAAAGCAUCUAAGCGUGAAGCCCCCCUCAAGAUGAGAUUUCCCACCGCG